UGGCGGCAUGCCUUACACAUGCAAGUCGAACGGCAGCACGGAGCUUGCUCUGGUGGCGAGUGGCGAACGGGUGAGUAAUAUAUCGGAACGUACCCUAGAGUGGGGGAUAACGUAGCGAAAGUUACGCUAAUACCGCAUACGAUCUAAGGAUGAAAGUGGGGGAUCGCAAGACCUCAUGCUCGUGGAGCGGCCGAUAUCUGAUUAGCUAGUUGGUAGGGUAAAAGCCUACCAAGGCAUCGAUCAGUAGCUGGUCUGAGAGGACGACCAGCCACACUGGAACUGAGACACGGUCCAGACUCCUACGGGAGGCAGCAGUGGGGAAUUUUGGACAAUGGGCGAAAGCCUGAUCCAGCAAUGCCGCGUGAGUGAAGAAGGCCUUCGGGUUGUAAAGCUCUUUUGUCAGGGAAGAAACGGUGAGAGCUAAUAUCUCUUGCUAAUGACGGUACCUGAAGAAUAAGCACCGGCUAACUACGUGCCAGCAGCCGCGGUAAUACGUAGGGUGCAAGCGUUAAUCGGAAUUACUGGGCGUAAAGCGUGCGCAGGCGGUUUUGUAAGUCUGAUGUGAAAUCCCCGGGCUCAACCUGGGAAUUGCAUUGGAGACUGCAAGGCUAGAAUCUGGCAGAGGGGGGUAGAAUUCCACGUGUAGCAGUGAAAUGCGUAGAUAUGUGGAGGAACACCGAUGGCGAAGGCAGCCCCCUGGGUCAAGAUUGACGCUCAUGCACGAAAGCGUGGGGAGCAAACAGGAUUAGAUACCCUGGUAGUCCACGCCCUAAACGAUGUCUACUAGUUGUCGGGUCUUAAUUGACUUGGUAACGCAGCUAACGCGUGAAGUAGACCGCCUGGGGAGUACGGUCGCAAGAUUAAAACUCAAAGGAAUUGACGGGGACCCGCACAAGCGGUGGAUGAUGUGGAUUAAUUCGAUGCAACGCGAAAAACCUUACCUACCCUUGACAUGGCUGG
rnacentral:rRNA from 1 species